CAGAGAUGGACGUUCAUCUGCACAUCCUCAGUGUCUCAGGAGUCACAAUAAACACACUAAAUAAAGUCAUGAUUGUGUAACUCUAGUGUAUAUGAGUGUGUUGUCAGCACAAGCUGUUGUAAAUCCUGCCCACUUCUUUGCAUUGUCAGCACAUGCUUCAGUGCUCUGAGAGUGUUUAUAGUGCUGUGAGUUUAACACUUCAUGACUGAGAGCAGAACACACACACUCUUCAUCAUCACACAAGACUAAACUACAACUAUGAACAACAUCUGCAUCUUCAUCUGGACCAUUGCACUGUUUGCUCAAGAAUCCAGAGGAGUGACUCUGACUCAACCUGAAGUUGAAACUGUCCAACUGAGUCAAACAGCAACAAUAGAGUGUCAUAUAGAUGUAGGAAUAUAUGACGAUCGUUUAGCCUGGUAUCAGCAGAAACCUGGAGAAGCUCCUAAACUCCUGAUUUAUUGGAUAAACAGCCGUUAUUCUGGAACUCCAUCUAGAUUCAGUGGCAGUGGAACAAGACAUACUGGACGAGAUUUUACUCUGAUUAUCAGUGGAGUCCAGACUGAAGAUACAGGAGAUUAUUACUGUCAGAGUUAUCACAGUGGUGGUGUGUUCACACAGUGAUAAAGAGUCGUACAAAAACCUCUGUCAGUCAGACGUCACAGUGACUGCACUGAUACAGCUGAGAGAAACUGCAGCUGCUGAUGGAGGAUCACACACACUACACAAUAUCAAUGUCU